AGGGUUUGGGUUUAAGAUUUAAAAUUUUAGGUUUAGGGUUUAGGAUUUAGGGUUUAGAUUUUAAUAUUUAGGGUUUAGGGUUUAGGAUUUAGAGUUUUGGGUUUAGGCUUUAGGGUUUAGAUUUUAGGAUUUAGGCUUUAGGGUUUAGAUUUUGGGUUUAGGAUUUAAGAUUUAGGGUUUAGAUUUUAGGAUUGGGAUUUAUGGUUUAGUUUUUUGGAUUUAGGGUUUAUAGUUUUAGAGUUUAGGUUUUUAGAAUUUAGAAUUUUGCAGAUGGCGCUAAUUAAUGUCGGUGUUGUUUUUUUUCAGCUAUUUAA
rnacentral:lncRNA from 1 species